rnacentral:rRNA from 1 species
UACGGGGGAGCAAGCGUUGUUCGGAUUUACUGGGCGUAAAGGGCGCGUAGGCGGGCGCAACAAGUCACUUGUGAAAUCUCCGGGCUUAACCCGGAGCGGUCAAGUGAUACUGUCGUGCUAGAGUGCGGAAGGGGCUACUGGGAAUUCUCGGUGUAGCGGUGAAAUGCGUAGAUAUCCGGAGGAACACCGGUGGCGAAGGCGGCUUACCUGGACCCGACACUGACGCUGAGGCGCGAAAGCUAGGGGAGCAAACGGG